rnacentral:lncRNA from 1 species
ACGGUAAAGUCUUCUUUUAUUACUAUCAAUCUUAAAAACAUUAAAGUGUGCUUGUGUUAAUGAGCAUUCCCUUUAAAAUAAGAUGAAUUUACAAACCUAUCUGUCUGUGAUGAUUUUCAGGUGCUUGUCCUGUGAUCAAGGGAGAUAAGUGGUUAUGUGCUAAAUGGAUGCAUGUCGGUGAAUUCAAAAUCUAGAUAUAGAUUACUGUAUGUUGUUAUAUCUCCUUUGUCGUUGUACUCGCACAUAUACAAAUAUAAAUAUAAUUUUAUAGUUACAACAAUGUUUAUCUGGCAAAGUUUACAAUGUUUAUCGCGGCCUAGUAAUAACUUAAUAAAUAUGCAUUGCCUCCACCCACUCACCUCCUUCUGCAUCCAAAAACUAUCCUUCCAAAGCAUCUACAUAAGAUAGUUGAAUAGAAGAGCCCUUAGAAAAACUAUGUUUCCCUCCUUUUUGUGUCGAUAUUUUCUGCAUUUGCCGAAGCAAACCCUCGAUAAGGGUUUGUAUCAGAGAGUUUCUUUCUUCUCCAUUAGAAUGUAAAUAAUCAUGUUUUUUUACGAAGGUUAAUAAUCAAGUUAUACAUCAUUUUUUUUUAGAGAAAGUUAUAUAUACAUCAUUUGUCUACCUAUAAAAUAAUCGUAUGGCAAAUCACAUUAAGAAUGUAAACACAUCUUUACUAUGAAAUAUUAAGUGCAUAGCAGAUUACAAAUUGGCCAAAUUGCUUGAUAGAUACAAUGCAAUAGCCUUCUGCAUAAUUCAAUUUGCUUUCUCUAUGAAUUUAGUACAUCCAGCAACCUUCUGGUUUCUCUAUUUUUCUCCUGCAUUAGUAAUUUAAUAUGCUUGUUUAUGGAUUCAUAAAAAAAAAGCCAGAAGCAAAAAAUGAAUGAGUGCUUGGGUUCUACAAUAUAUUUCACUGUUGUUACUGUUGUUGUUCAAAAUCCACAUUGUGAAGUUGUAGAUCAUGCACUUAAUUGAUGGCAUGAAGCAAUUCCAAGGCUCCACCAAUUUCCAUGGAGCAAAUAGGUUGUGACCAAAAGUGUCCGAACAAGCACGAAUCUUCCUUCAUCGUCUCUUAAACACAUGUCUAACCCUGUACAAUUCAGCGUGAUGGAGAAAGAAGCGUCAAUGUUGCACUUGAGACGCCCGGUUGCUGGUGAGAUUGCCCACGAGACGACUGAUGUUGCACGUUACUUAGUUUCACUGUUCUUUUUCUUGUUAAAAAAAUUAGUUGGAGAAUCGCGCUUACAAAAAGUGAUUUGUGAAUUCUUUGUGAAAAAGGAGAGUGAUUUGCAAAAAUGGAAUAUUUUAAUGUUUAAUCAGAGGAGUGUGAGAUAUUACAAAUGUUUCUUUUUAAUACUCAUAAAGAUUUUCUAAAAAGAGGCAUAUUCUAACAAUAUUGUCAAUAUGUAAUUAUGAAGAGUUGAAGGAAGACCAUUUUAAUAAUAAAAAAAUUAAUUUCAAUUGGACAAUGCAUGUCUUUCUGAUGAAAUGAAAAGAAACGCCUUUGAGGAAAGUGUAUAGCACGCUGAAAUAAACAAGUUUAAUAGGUCACAUUCUCAUUUUUUUUUUCCAAUUCAAAUUAAUUCAGUUUUUAGAUUUUAAUUCAUUCAUUCAUCUUUAAAAACUGUUAAUGGUGAAAUUCAAGCACUCUAACGUAGGACUUCGAAAACCAUCGCUAAUAACAUGCUGGACAUUGUUCCUCACAUUGUUUGUGACUUUCACAUUCCUCAUUCUUAUUAUCUUAACUCUUCGUAUCCCUAAACUAAAUCACCUUAACUCCAUCACUCAUAGUAACACUCUCAGGUUUCUCUUUGAUUCAACUACAAACUUAUCUUCCUUUUUGAUUUGUUUCUCUCUCUUUGUUACCUCCCUUAUUUAUUUUAUGCAUGCAGAAACGAUGACAAUAAGCGUUGGGUUCAAAUCAUAUCGUGGGAGCCUAGAGCAUUUUUAUAUCAUAAUUUUCUUGUCAGUUUCUUGUUUCCCUUCUUGCUUGCUUUUAUUGAUAAGGAUUAUUUGUUAAUGAUCUAAUUAAAUAUCAAAUUAUGACUGGAUUACUAAUUAGUCGUGUUCUACAAAGCACCAACAUUUAUGAUUAAAAGAGUGUCCUGUGAAAUCACUACAAGAAAAUCAGUGAUUAUUUCGUAGCAAACCUCUCUAGCAAAGAUCAUUUAACUAGAAAAAACUAUGAAUUAGGUGCUAUCUUUAUCAUAGCAUGGAUUGGAUAGCAAAUUAUCUAGGAAAAUUAUCUUAGCUAAUUCACAACUAAUAUCUGCAAACUCCUAGCUACUCCCUCCGGUCCUAUUUAUAAGAGAAAUUUAGGUCAACAAAAGUGAAUGUAUUUGGACUGAAUUUUUAACUAGAUACAUCAACUUUUGUUGACCCAAAAUUCUUUUAUAAAUAGGACCGGAGGAAGUAAUUCCCAACCAAUACGUUGUAAAAUAAUGUUCAAAAGUGUAUAUUCUGUAGCUAGGGUAUUACAAAGCAAGAUCGUAGCAAAUCUAUAGCUAAAGGUUGAUUUUGAAAUUUAGGAAUUUACUAGCUUUUCGUGAACAUUCUUAUCUUUUGCAUACAUGCACAUUUGAAUGGAGAAUACACAGAGAUUAGACGAUCACAAAUCUUCCUUAACAAAAGACGAAAAUAGAAAUUCAGGGCUACCAAAGCUAAAAAUUAUAUCAUUAUUAUCAAAUAAAUUUUAUAUUUGUAAGUACUUUUGAAAGUGACAUAGAUUACUGCUACUUUCGACACUUCAUGAACUAGUUCUCUGGAGUUUGUAGCUCGUGGAUCAAUCAUAUGUUUAAUAAUUAGAGUAAUCAAGGUUGUGCAAGUCCUUUUCCACCAAAACCAAUGAUUAUACAUCUCAGUUCUCGGGGUGCAAAAGGAAAAUGAAAAAAACAGCAACAAUUUUAACAGGGGAAACACUUGAAUCUCUUGACAAAGAACUCAUCAACAGAAAACAAAAACCACAAUAACAAAGAAUGAUUAUAGUUUACUAUAGUUUAUAAAGAAAUAAGUUCACUAUGAGAAAACAAUGGCCUACCACAUUAACUAACUCAUCUCGUAUAGCAUAACUGGAUUUGUAAAAGGAAAAUAUAUGAGUCUUUUAGGGUGAUAAUAAAUCACUAAAUAAGAUACAAACCACCAACAUUAAUUCAUGUAUCGAAGUCUAAAAAUAGCAUGACAUCUUCACGUUAUAUUGAACAUUACGUUAAAAAACUGUUAAUGGAAAGAUCAAAUUGUUUUUUUUAGUGCAUCCAAUGACUUGCAUUAAAGGAAAAUAGUGUGUGUAUUAUUGAAUCAUAAGUUGGACAUGUCCAAUUUUUCUUUGUACCAAAUGAACAUCAAGUGAGUUUCAUUCCACAUAUUAUAUUAUGUUUACUUAUUUUUCAGUUAGUGUAUGAAUCAAUUUUAAAUGUAUUUUUUAAAGAAAUUGCAUAUGUUUGGUUUCUGUCUUUUUUCAAUAUUUUUUUAGCAUCAGUGGAUUAGAAAAUCACACUCACUCACUACCAUUCCAAACUUGCUUUGAGAAUAAGAUCAUCCAAAUAUAAAGCACUUAAUUUCAAAUUCCAUAAUAACCAAAUCAAUAUGUUUGCCCUAACACACACUAAUCAAACAAAAUCAGUAAUAUUUUCUAAGGUGAAUAUGGUUGUAAGGUUUAGGAAAGAUUUGAAUAUCAUGAAGGAAAAAAAGAUGAAUGUGAAUUCACUCAUAACCUGCAGAAAUUUAGAAGCGAGACAGAGUUUUAAACUUAGAAUAUCAGUUUUAAGUUUUAACAUUAUUUCUUUAUAUAUUGUGUAAUCAUAGUUCAAGGUAGGCCCCUAAAUAUAGUUUUAAUGUUACAAGUUUCCAUUUCCUAAAUGCUAAGGCUAAACUGAUUGAUCUGAGCAGACAAAAGAGGAAUGCGAACAUCUAAUCAAUAUAGCAAAGCCUAGUAUGCAUAAAUCGGAAGUUAUUGACGAGAAAACAGGAAAGAGUCUGAACAGCAGGUUAGAUUUUUUUUUCCAACCACAAAAUUCUUUAUCAAGUAUCCCUUGAGUUCAAUGUUGAAUAUAAAUCUCGUUUGACUUGUUUGGAUCGUCAUUGCCACUUCAUUGAUGUAUUUAGCAUACGAACAAGCUCUGGAACAUUUCUUGACAGAGAAGGUGAUGAAAUUGUGAGCAAUAUUGAGAAAAGAAUCGCUGAUUUUACUUUUAUACCUGUAGGUGCGUAACACGUUCUUUCUGCCUUUUGUUUUUUCCUUUGUUCAAGAAACUAAGGCUUGAUGCUCCUGCUAGUGCUUUUUGAUUCAACCAUGUAUCAACGAAGUGUUUUCAGUUGUCUUUUGAUGCUGAGAUAGUAUGUUAUUUUUCACCCAAUACUUAAAACAACCAUUACUUGAGCCGUGUUUCACAAUAUGCAGAGCAUGGCGAAAGCUUUAAUGUUCUCCAUUAUGAAGUUGGACAAAAGUAUGAACCUCAUUAUGACUACUUUUUGGAUACGUUUAGUACUAGGCAUGCAGGUCAGCGCAUAGCAACAAUGCUGAUGUACCUGUAAGUGACUUUAGUGUCAUUCAUUGUUGGCUUCAAUUAUCGUUGAUACGAAGUUGAUAUUGGUGUUCACUUUUUUUUUGUAAUUCGAUAAUACAGUUCGGAUGUUGAAGAAGGGGGUGAGACGGUGUUCCCAAAUGCCAAGGGAAAUUUUAGCUCUGUGCCUUGGUGGAAUGAGCUUUCCGAUUGUGGAAAAGGAGGACUGUCAAUUAAGCCAAAGAUGGGUAAUGCUAUACUUUUCUGGAGCAUGAAGCCUGAUGCAACUUUAGAUCCAUCGAGUUUGCACGGUAAAUUCUUCUUUUAUUACUAUCAAACUUAAAAGCAUUAAAGUGUGUUUGUGUUAACGAGCAUUCCCUUUAAAACAAGAUGAAUUUAAAAACCUAUCUGUAUGUGAUAAUUUUCAGGUGCUUGUCCUGUGAUCAAGGGCGAUAAGUGGUCAUGCGCCAAAUGGAUGCAUGCCGAUGAAUACUAAACCUUCAUAUUGAUUAUUGUAGGUUGUUAUACCUCCUUUGUCGUUGUACUGGCACAGUUACAAAUACAAAUAUAAAUAUGGUUUUGCAGUUGCGGCUAUACAACAAUGUUUAUAUUAGGAAACUGAG